rnacentral:tRNA from 1 species
GGAAAGGUAGUCUAAAAUAAGACAUUUGAUUGUUAAUCAUAGAAUGUGACGGUUGAUCGCACCCUUUUCG